CGUGUAGGCGGUUUCUUAAGUCUGAUGUGAAAGCCCCGGGCUCAACCCGGGAAGUGCAUUGGAUGCUGGGAGACUUGAAUACGGGAGAGGGUAGUGGAAUUCCUAGUGUAGGAGUGAAAUCCGUAGAUAUUAGGAGGAACACCGGUGGCGAAGGCGGCUACCUGGACCGAUAUUGACGCUGAGACGCGAAAGCGUGGGGAGCAAACAGGAUUAGAUACCCUGGUAGUCCACGCCGUAAACGAUGAGAACUAGGUGUUGCGGGUAUUGACCCCUGCAGUGCCGCAGCUAACGCAUUAAGUUCUCCGCCUGGGAAGUACGGUCGCAAGACUAAA
rnacentral:rRNA from 1 species